AACGAACGCUGGCGGCAUGCCUAACACAUGCAAGUCGAACGAGACCUCCGGGUCUAGUGGCGCACGGGUGCGUAACGGGUGGGAACCUGCCCUUAGGCUCGGAAUAAAUCCCCGAAAGGGGUGCUAAUACCGGAUAAUGUCUUCGAAACACAGAUCUAACGCGUUAGGAUGGGCCCUCGUUGGAUUAGCUAGUUGGUAGGGUAAAAGCCUACCAAGGCGACGAUCCAUAGCUGGUCUGAGAGGAUGAUCAGCCACACUGGGACUGAGACACGGCCCAGACUCCUACGCGAGGCAGCAGUGGGGAAUAUUGGACUAUGGGGGAAAGCCUGAUCCAGCAAUGCCGCGUGAGUGAUGAAGGCCGUAGGGUUGUAAAGCUCUUUUACCCGGGAUGAUAAUGACAGUACCGGGAGAAUAAGCUCCGGCUAACUCCGUG
rnacentral:rRNA from 1 species